rnacentral:rRNA from 1 species
GAACGCGAAGAACCUUACCUGGUCUUGACAUGUACGGAAUCCUCCAGAGACGGAGGAGUGCCUUCGGGAGCCGUAACACAGGUGCUGCAUGGCUGUCGUCAGCUCGUGUCGCGAGAUGUUGGGUUAAGUCCCGCAACGAGCGCAACCCUUGUCAUUAGUUGCCAUCAUUUAGUUGGGCACUCUAAUGAGACUGCCGGCGACAAGCCGGAGGAAGGUGGGGAUGACGUCAAGUCCUCAUGGCCCUUAUGACCAGGGCUUCACACGUCAUACAAUGGUCGGUACAGAGGGUAGCCAAGCCGCGAGGUGGAGCCAAUCUCACAAAACCGAUCGUAGUCCGGAUUGCACUCUGCAACUCGAGUGCAUGAAGUCGGAAUCGCUAGUAAUCGCAGGUCAGCAUACUGCGAUGAAUACGUUCCCGGGUCUUGUACACACC